AACGAACGCUGGCGGCAGGCCUAACACAUGCAAGUCGAGCGGUAAGGCCCUUUCGGGGGUACACGAGCGGCGAACGGGUGAGUAACACGUGGGUGACCUGCCCUCAGCUCUGGGAUAAGCCUGGGAAACCGGGUCUAAUACCGGAUAUGACUCCAUGACGCAUGUUGUGGGGUGGAAAGCCUUGUGCGGCUGAGGAUGGGCCCGCGGCCUAUCAGCUUGUUGGUGGGGUGAUGGCCUACCAAGGCGACGACGGGUAGCCGGCCUGAGAGGGCGACCGGCCACACUGGGACUGAGACACGGCCCAGACUCCUACGGGAGGCAGCAGUGGGGAAUCUUGCGCAAUGGGCGAAAGCCUGACGCAGCGACGCCGCGUGAGGGAUGACGGCCUGG
rnacentral:rRNA from 1 species